CAGAGGACAGUUGGUACAGAUGUUAGAAGGCCAAAUCGCAAGGCCCUGUAAGAGCCACGUUGAUGAAUAAGCUCUAUGUUCAACUUCGUUCAUGUCCUACUUGGCUUCGGAAAGAGCUCAUAUGUUGACGAAGGCAACACAGAAUGAGUGACUUGAGAAUUGCUUGAGAUUUCAAGCUUAUGACUUGAGACUUACUUGUGAGAAACCAAACAUUUUAUGGGCUUUUCAAGCGCAUUGUGUUGGAUCACGAGAGCAGCCACGCUUUUCCCACGCGCCCACUCCGUUCCCGCUCUGUGCCAGCUUUGUUUGGCACCGCACACAAAUAAAAGGGCCUCUUUGAGCCCUCUGUGAGUUGCCUGGCAGGGGGCGGGGCUAGCCGGCUAAUAACAAGCUGGCUAUUAUGACGGCGAGACAGAUGCAUGUUAGGUUGUCGUACAUUUUGUUGUGCAAUGACAAGGACUUGUGUGUGUGUGUGUGUGUGUGGACACUCGUCAAACGGCCAUUGUUGAUUAUGUCUGCAAUGUAGGUCAAUUGAGUUCUAUCCCUACCCAUGCCCGACGCACUUAUUGACCUACCCCGAAGAGAUCUGUGUAUGUGGUUGCUAAAAGAACAAAUGAUAUUAGCAAGCACUAACUCCAAGGAAUCCUUCUGAAAGUGUGUGUGGCUCGGCGGCUAAUCUAGAUAAAUAACUGAAGCUCCCUCUCAUACCGAGUUGCCGCAAGAAUGUUGUGAUAGUAGACCCUGGUAUUUAUUUACCACACAAUAAAGUGAAAUUGUUGUAAUAACUAACCACAUAGAAAGCUAACAUGCUAACAUAAGACUAUGAUUUUGUGUGUGGGUAUGUGUGUGUGUCACACUUAGCAUGAAGGUCACCUCUAAAUUGGUCUCCGACAUGUAAUUAGCUUUAAUGAAGUGUGACCCAUUGAUUGAGAAGAUCCCUUAUGACCCCUGGGGAUCCAAGAAGAGACAUUCACAUUCAUUCUCAUACACACACAGGACAGGUUGACAGGUCAUGGCUGUCGUCUGUUUCUAUCAGUGUAAAUUCCAGAUUCCCUGAACCAGACCCCCGCACCCUCCCCACUUUUAUACCUUCAGUCGUGACACUCUAUUUGACUUUGGGAUGUGGAUAGACUCUGCUCUACCGUAAUAUGUCUGGCAUUUUUGGUUCCACUCUCAACCUUGGUUUGCUUCCAGUCAUAGUUUCAGCAUCUAAAGCCCACAGCAUGUUACAUAAAGCCACCAACGCAUGAUAUACAGCUACUUUUUGGUUUUUAGAUCUUUUCAACAGUUUUUUGGCUUUAUCUCAAAAAUUGACAUGCAGGUUUUGACAUUGUUGUUAAUAUUUGAGUUCGCACGAUAAAAGUGAAAAAAAAAAAGAGUUGACUGUUUUUAAAGAACAAGCAGUGAGCAUGCUAAGGAUUCUAUCCUCCCACUAGUCCCUGAUGUCUGGCCCUGUGAUGGCUUUAUCACUUAUUCAUAAGAUUUCUGAGGUCAGCGCUAGUAUCAUUCCAACUCUUAAACCUUUGCGUGCCCGUGAGCAGAUAUACUCAUGGCAGGGAUUGUGAAAGUUACAGCUCAUGGACUGUAUAGAGCCCAGAAAAACGUCGAUGAAGUUCACAAACAAAGAAGGCGUUGAUUCAAGCUCUGACCUUGUGUAGCUGAGUUAUUACAAGUUUCUUGGUUCUAUGGCAAGUUAUCAGAAUUUGCUGCCCAAGUCCGCCCACACCCUGAGAUGAUGGGUGCAUGGGUUUGAUGGGUUUGGGUGGGUGAUUGGA